ACUGACAGCCAUGGUUACCGCGGCUGCUGGCACGGAGUUAGCCGGUGCUUCUUCUGUGAGUGAUGUCCUUCCUGCCGGCUAUUAACCCGCAGGCCUUCUUCCUCACUGAAAGUGCUUUACAACCCGAAGGCCUUCUUCACACACGCGGCAUGGCUGGAUCAGGGUUGCCCCCAUUGUCCAACUAUUCCCCACUGCUGCCUCCCGUAGGAGUCUGGGCCGUGUCUCAGUCCCAGUGUGGCUGAUCAUCCUCUCAGACCAGCUACGGAUCGUCGCCUUGGUGUAGCCGUUACCUCACCAACCAGCUAAUCCGACAUAGGCUCAUCCGAUAGCGCGAGGCCCGAAAGGUCCCCCGCUUUCCCCCGUAGGGCGUAUGCGGUAUUAGCCUGGGUUUCCCCCAGGUUAUCCCCCCACUACCGGGCAGAUUCCUAUGCAUUACUCACCCGUCCGCCGCUCGCCACCAGGGAGCAAGCUCCCCGUGCUGCCGCUCGACUUGCAUGUGUUAGGCCUGCCGCCAGCGUUCAAU
rnacentral:rRNA from 1 species